GUCUACGGCCAUACCACGUUGAAAGCACCAGUUCUCGUCCGAUCACUGAAGUUAAGCAACGUCGGGCUCGGUUAGUACUUGGAUGGGUGACCGCCUGGGAACACCGAGUGCUGUAGACUCCU
rnacentral:rRNA from 1 species